rnacentral:rRNA from 1 species
AGUUGGUAGGGUAAAGGCCUACCAAGGCGACGAUCUAUAGCUGGUCUGAGAGGACGAUCAGCCACACUGGGACUGAGACACGGCCCAGACUCCUACGGGAGGCAGCAGUGGGGAAUAUUGGACAAUGGGCGAAAGCCUGAUCCAGCAAUACCGCGUGUGUGAAGAAGGCCUUAGGGUUGUAAAGCACUUUCAAUGGGGAGGAAAACCUGCCGGUCAAUACCCGGUAGCUUGACAUUACCUUUAGAAGAAGCACCGGCUAACUCCGUGCCAGCAGCCGCGGUAAUACGGAGGGUGCGAGCGUUAAUCGGAAUUACUGGGCGUAAAGCGUGCGUAGGCGGUUCGUUAAGUCAGAUGUGAAAGCCCCGGGCUCAACCUGGGAACUGCAUUUGAAACUGGCGAACUAGAGUUGAGUAGAGGGGAGUGGAAUUUCAGGUGUAGCGGUGAAAUGCGUAGAUAUCUGAAGGAACACCAGUGGCGAAGGCGACUCCCUGGACUCAAACUGACGCUGAGGUACGAAAGCGUGGGUAGCAAACAGGAUUAGAUACCCUGGUAGUCCACGCCGUAAACGAUGUCAACUAGCCGUUGGUCCUAUAUACAGGAUUAGUGGCGCAGCUAACGCAUUAAGUUGACCGCCUGGGGAGUACGGCCGCAAGGUUAAAACUCAAAUGAAUUGACGG